CGAACGCUGGCGGCACGCCUAACACAUGCAAGUCGAGCGCAGUCCUUAGGGACCGAGCGGCGGACGGGUUAGUAACGCGUGGGAACAUACCCUUUUCUACGGAAUAGCCUCGGGAAACUGAGAGUAAUACCGUAUACGGCCUUCGGGCGAAAGAUUUAUCGGUGAAGGAUUGGCCCGCGUUAGAUUAGAUAGUUGGUGGGGUAAUGGCCUACCAAGUCUACGAUCUAUAGCUGGUUUGAGAGGAUGAUCAGCAACACUGGGACUGAGACACGGCCCAGACUCCUACGGGAGGCAGCAGUGGGGAAUCUUAGACAAUGGGCGCAAGCCUGAUCUAGCGAUGCCGCGUGUGUGACGAAGGCCUUAGGGUCGUAAAGCACUUUCGCCAAGGAUGAUAAUGACAGUACUUGGUAAAGAAACCCCGGCUAACUCC
rnacentral:rRNA from 1 species